UACGUAGGGGGCAAGCGUUGUCCGGAUUCAUUGGGCGUAAAGAGCGUGUAGGCGGCCAGGUAGGUCGGUUGUGAAAACUGGAGGCUCAACCUUCAGAGGUCGACCGAAACCAUCUGGCUAGAGUCCGGGAGAGGAGAGUGGAAUUCCUGGUGUAGCGGUGAAAUGCGCAGAUAUCAGGAAGAACACCCGUGGCGAAAAGCGGCUCUCUGGAACGGUACUGACGCUGAGGAGCGAAAAGCGUGGGGGAGCGAACAGG
rnacentral:rRNA from 1 species